AUUGAACGCUGGCGGCAUGCCUUACACAUGCAAGUCGAACGGUAACAGGUCUUCGGAUGCUGACGAGUGGCGAACGGGUGAGUAAUACAUCGGAACGUGCCCAGUCGUGGGGGAUAACUACGCGAAAGCGUAGCUAAUACCGCAUACGAUCUAUGGAUGAAAGCGGGGGAUCGCAAGACCUCGCGCGAGUCGAGCGGCCGAUGGCAGAUUAGGUAGUUGGUGGGGUAAAGGCUCACCAAGCCGACGAUCUGUAGCUGGUCUGAGAGGACGACCAGCCACACUGGGACUGAGACACGGCCCAGACUCCUACGGGAGGCAGCAGUGGGGAAUUUUGGACAAUGGGCGCAAGCCUGAUCCAGCCAUGCCGCGUGCAGGAUGAAGGCCUUCGGGUUGUAAACUGCUUUUGUACGGAACGAAAAGUCUCUUUCUAAUAAAGAGGGAUCAUGACGGUACCGUAAGAAUAAGCACCGGCUAACUACGUGCCAGCCGCCGCCGUAAGAC
rnacentral:rRNA from 1 species